AGUCUAUAGGGAGGGCAAAGCCUAAGCAUCUCUUUAAAGUGUUCUCAAGCUUCGUAUAGAAAUUCUUCAUCGCUCUGCUUAAAACUUGUAAUUUAGUUUCUAAGCU